UAGCUCAGUGGUAGAGCACGUGCCUGGCAUGCAUGUAUCUGGGUUCAAUCCCCAG
rnacentral:tRNA from 1 species